CAGACAAGACUGCACACUGUUUUGAUACUGACAUGUGAAUCUCUUCACCUAUUAGCUUUCUGAAGUUUUUGGAGACUGUUUAUAAAGUUGUCUUCAAUGGAGAGUCCACUGUGCCUCUGUCUCUACACAUUUUUUCAAUUAAAAUAUCAUCUUUAGUUAAAUCUCCACUGGGGAGUGCAGCGGCAGUCUGAGGCAGACAAGAAGGGGGAACAGGGGCCUGAGACAAGGGCAGAGAGGCUGGAGAAGGUGGGUGCUGCCUCCUCCCAGGAUGCAGCUGACUCCGAUGAGAUUGCAGAACUCCUGCCUCUCCCCUUCCCUCUGGGGGUAGGAGUGCAGCAAUGGAAUCUGGGAAGGGAAUCUGCCCACUUCCCAAUGAUGCUGGAUAAACUGGAUAAAUUAGCUUCAGGAGGGAAGGGCACCAUCUCCCAGGACCUGGCAGUUCCCUGUUGCUGCAAACAGAGGCCUCAACCCUGAUUCACGCCUGGCACUCUUGAAAGGCACAAGCGUCUCAUAGCACACAAACAGACCUAGAUCAUGACAGCAUCCUGAGUUGGGGCAGAGGGAGAUUGGUAUGCACUCUGCCAAAAAUAGCUGCCACCAAGGGAUGUCAGAGGAAUCUAUUGAAAAUGAACUAGCCAGCCUGUAUGCACCAAGACUACAAUCCUAACCAUGCCUACUCAAGACACAAUUCUCACUGAAUUCAGCAGGGCUUACUGCCAGGUAAGUUGAGUUAGGAUCGCAUCCUUAAUCUACUUCCUACUGUGAAUUUUAAAAGCCAGUGGGAUUCAGCAUUCACUAUUG